rnacentral:rRNA from 1 species
UACGUAGGGGGCUAGCGUUGUCCGGAAUCAUUGGGCGUAAAGCGUCCGCAGGUGGCUGUGUAAGUCUGCUGUCAAAGAGCAAAGCUCAACUUUGUAAAGGCAGUGGAAACUACACGGCUAGAGUGCGUUCGGGGCAGAGGGAAUUCCUGGUGUAGCGGUGAAAUGCGUAGAGAUCAGGAAGAACACCGGUGGCGAAGGCGCUCUGCUAGGCCGCAACUGACACUGAUGGACGAAAGCUAGGGGAGCGAAUGGG